CUAUAAAGCCAAGUGUAUCAUAUUUGAUACAUACGUUUUUGAGACCUCUAAAUCAUCAGUGUGAUAUUUUUUCCCUGAAAAACCUGAUGAAUACAUGAAUUGAUGAUUAAAAAAAACUGAGCAACAAAUUUCACAAAAAUACCAGAUGUAACAAAGAUGAUUUGCUGGUUCCACUGGUGGAUCCGUCAUUGCUGCGUGAAAACUUCAUAUCAGCAGAUGUAUGAUGUUGUUUUAUAUGGAAAAAAAAUAUUUUGUUUGUUUGAGGAAAAUGUUAAAAGGAAAGUCAAAGUUUUAUUUGGUUAAAAAUAUUAGGUUUUAUGUGAUUAUGUGAGUUCAAGAAAAGCAAAUUGUGAGCAACAAAUUGCACAAAAAGACCUGAUGUAUCAAAUAUGAUCCAAAUUAAAUUCAUAUAUGAAAAUUGAUAUUGAAUUGAAAAAAAUGUUA